UGGGGAAUAUUGCACAAUGGGCGCAAGCCUGAUGCAGCCAUGCCGCGUGUAUGAAGAAGGCCUUCGGGUUGUAAAGUACUUUCAGCGGGGAGGAAGGGAGUAAAGUUAAUACCUUUGCUCAUUGACGUUACCCGCAGAAGAAGCACCGGCUAACUCCGUGCCAGCAGCCGCGGUAAUACGGAGGGUGCAAGCGUUAAUCGGAAUUACUGGGCGUAAAGCGCACGCAGGCGGUUUGUUAAGUCAGAUGUGAAAUCCUCGGGCUCAACCUGGGAACUGCAUCUGAUACUGGCAAGCUUGAGUCUCGUAGAGGGGGGUAGAAUUCCAGGUGUAGCGGUGAAAUGCGUAGAGAUCUGGAGGAAUACCGGUGGCGGAGGCGGCCCCCUGGACGAAGACUGACGCUCAGGUGCGAAAGCGUGGGGAGCAAACAGG
rnacentral:rRNA from 1 species